rnacentral:rRNA from 1 species
GACGAACGCUGGCGGCGUGGAUUAGGCAUGCAAGUCGAACGGUAGGAUACCUUCGGGUAUCUGAGAGUGGCGAACGGGUGAGUAACACGUAGGUGAUCUACCCUCAAGAUUGGGACAACCCAGGGAAACUUGGGCUAAUACCGGAUGAAAGCAGCAGUGAUGUUGUUUGAAAGGUGGCGUAAGCUGCCGUUUGGGGAUGAGCCUGCGCUCUAUUAGUUAGUUGGCGGGGUAAAGGCCCACCAAGGCGAUGAUAGAUAGGCGGCCUUAACGGGUGGUCGCCCACACUGGGAUUGAGAUACGGCCCAGACUCCUACGGGAGGCAGCAGUCGAGAAUAGUCUACAAUGGCCGAAAGGCUGAUAGUGCGACGCCGCGUGAACGAAGAAGCCCUUCGGGGUGUAAAGUUCUUUUAUAUGUGAGCAGUACUUUUCUAUGUGAACAGCAUGGGGAAGAGAUAUUAGCAUAUGAAUAAGCAACGGCUAACUCCGUGCCAGCAGCC